rnacentral:rRNA from 1 species
UACGUAGGGGGCAAGCGUUGUCCGGAAUUAUUGGGCGUAAAGAGCGUGUAGGCGGUUCGAUAAGUUCGCUGUAAAAGUCGGGGGCUCAACCCCCGAAAGCCAGUGAAUACUGUUGGACUAGAGUACGGAAGAGGCGAGUGGAAUUCCUGGUGUAGCGGUGAAAUGCGCAGAUAUCAGGAGGAACACCAAUUGCGAAGGCAGCUCGCUGGGACGUUACUGACGCUGAGACGCGAAAGCGUGGGGAGCAAACAGG